AUUGAACGCUGGCGGCAGGCCUAACACAUGCAAGUCGAGCGGAGCGGCGGACGGGUGAGUAAUACCUAGGAAUCUGCCUGGUAGUGGGGGAUAACGUUCGGUAACGGGCGCUAAUACCGCAUACUAUCAGACGAGCCUAGGUCGGAUUAGCUAGAUGGUGGGGUAAAGGCCUACCAAGGCGACGAUCCGUAACUGGUCUGAGAGGAUGAUCAGUCACACUGGAACUGAGACACGGUCCAGACUCCUACGGGAGGCAGCAGUGGGGAAUAUUGGACAAUGGGCGAAAGCCUGAUGCAGCCAUGCCGCGUGUGUGAAGAAGGUCUUCGGGUUGUAAAGCACUUUAAGUUGGGAGGCGUUACCAGCAGAAGAAGCACCGGCUAACUUCGUGCCAGCAGCCGCGGUAAUAC
rnacentral:rRNA from 1 species